rnacentral:misc_RNA from 1 species
CUGUUUCUCUCUCUACAAAUACAUACACUUUUCUGUGUCUAUAGGUUUUGCAUUCCCUACUCUUUUAACUCUCUUUUGAGUAGUGACCCUCUAACAAAGCUACAUCAACAACUUCAUCAUUGUGUGAUCCUUCAUGGUGCCUCUGCUUUUCCAUUGAUACACAAAAAAACACUGUAGGCAUCUUGGAUUUGGAGGUGUCUGAAAAGACUGCUAAAAUGGGAGAGAUAUGGUGUAGUGUUGUUAUUGUCUUGUUAUUCGGUAUCUUGAAUGUCGGGAAGGCUGAAAUCUACAUAGUGACAGUUGAAGGAGAGCCUGUCAUA